UAGCACCCAUCCUUGUCUUGGUAG
rnacentral:piRNA from 1 species